AUGAUAAAACUUGAUUCUUCCAAUUACUCAUUAUGGAAGCCCAUGAUGGAAGACAUCCUUUAUUGCAAGAAUUUGUAUGAGCCAAUUGUGAAAGACAAGAUACCCACAUGUGUCACGGAAGAAGAAUGGAGAGUGUUGCACAGAAAGGCAGUAGGUAUGAUUCGGUUGUACAUCAACCACAAUAUUUUUCACCAUGUUGCAAAUGACACAAAUGCUUAUGGGAUGUGGCAGAAGUUGGAGUCUAUGUAUGAGAGGAAGACAUCAAUGAUCAAGGCAGUACAAGUCAAAGUGGCGAGCAGCCAUCAAGUGAUGAUGAUGAUGAAGUUGGUAAUGAUGAUGCCAACGAAAAUCCACCUGAUUCGCCACCAGUGCAGCAGCGAAGAAGAAGUGAAAUAG
rnacentral:rRNA from 1 species